GACGAAGGGGGCUAGCGUUGUUCGGAAUUACUGGGCGUAAAGGGCGCGUAGGCGGUCUGUUAAGUUAGGCGUGAAAGCCCUGGGCUCAACCUGGGAGGUGCGCUUGAUACUGGCAGGCUAGAGUGCAGGAGAGGAUGGUGGAAUUCCCAGUGUAGAGGUGAAAUUCGUAGAUAUUGGGAAGAACACCGGUGGCGAAGGCGGCUCACUGGCCCGUAACUGACGCUCAGGCGCGAUAGCGUGGGGAUCAAACAGG
rnacentral:rRNA from 1 species